rnacentral:rRNA from 1 species
GACAGAGGGUGCGAACGUUGUUCGGAAUUACUGGGCGUAAAGCGCGUGUAGGCUGUUCGGAAAGUCGGGUGUGAAAGCCCUGGGCUCAACCUAGGAAGUGCACUCGAAACUCCCGAACUGGAGUCCCGGAGAGGAAGGUGGAAUUCUCGGUGUAGAGGUGAAAUUCGUAGAUAUCGAGAGGAACAUCGGUGGCGAAGGCGGCCUUCUGGACGGUGACUGACGCUGAGACGCGAAAGCGUGGGGAGCAAACAGG